UGUGGGAGCUGGCUUGCCAGCGAUGGCGUUAUGUCAGUCAACUUUGUAGUCACUGAUCGACCGCUAUCGCUGGCAAGCCAGCUCCCACA
rnacentral:misc_RNA from 1 species